rnacentral:rRNA from 1 species
CCUCCUUUAGAGUUUUGAUCCUGGCUCAGAUUGAACGCUGGCGGCAGGCCUAACACAUGCAAGUCGAGCGGUAACAUUUCUAGCUUGCUAGAAGAUGACGAGCGGCGGACGGGUGAGUAAUGCUUGGGAACAUGCCUUGAGGUGGGGGACAACCAUUGGAAACGAUGGCUAAUACCGCAUAAUGUCUACGGACCAAAGGGGGCUUCGGCUCUCGCCUUUAGAUUGGCCCAAGUGGGAUUAGCUAGUUGGUGAGGUAAAGGCUCACCAAGGCGACGAUCCCUAGCUGGUUUGAGAGGAUGAUCAGCCACACUGGAACUGAGACACGGUCCAGACUCCUACGGGAGGCAGCAGUGGGGAAUAUUGCACAAUGGGCGCAAGCCUGAUGCAGCCAUGCCGCGUGUGUGAAGAAGGCCUUCGGGUUGUAAAGCACUUUCAGUCAGGAGGAAAGGUUAGUAGUUAAUACCCUGCUAGCUGUGACGUACU